rnacentral:lncRNA from 1 species
AGUAGGAAUUAGAUGCUUACUGAAGAAAGACGAUUAAAUUCAGAAGUUGCUGUGUCUCAAAAGAAACACGGAAGUUUUGAAAUUCAGCUUUACUCAAGAAAAAAAGAAGCACAUACAAACCAGAAUUUCCUUAUAUAUGCAGUUUCUCAGAGCUGGAUCUGAUAGUGACUCCUGGAGGAAAAAUGAACUUGCAGCUGAAAAGAACCCACCUCUCCAGCAGAAACUGAUGAUGUGAACACACCACUACAGAAACACAUCUGGACACAUUUUAUCUACCAAUUGGUUAAUAACGUAUGGUAUUUAUUUUGUCACUUGUGAAUCGUCUUCUGUUACUUAGGCUUGAUUUUAUUUAAUGUUUC